GGGUAACUAGCGUGGUUAGAGAAUCAAAGCAUUUCUGAGGGGAUGCUUAGGCACUUUAAUUGGUCCAUGGUCUUUGGCACUUACUUUUGGCCGUGAUCAUAGCUCAUACGACACAGGAAAUAGAGUAAUUGUGGCCAAGUGUACUUUGUACUAGGGGGCUGUCACCUGGUAGGGAACACCUUUGGGCUCCCAGGCUUAUCACCUAUGGGAGGGGGGCUGUUACAUGCACAACCGGGUGGUCUCGACAAACUCAGCACAAUUCCCCAAGUGAGAGUGUCGUGUGGACACGCUUAGGCUAUUUCCUGAGAUUUGGUUGUUGUU
rnacentral:lncRNA from 1 species